rnacentral:rRNA from 1 species
AUCUUGCGCAAUGGCCGCAAGGCUGACGCAGCGACGCCGCGUGAGGGAUGACGGCCUUCGGGUUGUAAACCUCUGUUGCCCGGGACGAACAAGCCUAUUCGUGGGCUCUGACGGUACCGGGUGAGGAAGCACCGGCUAACUCCGUGCCAGCAGCCGCGGUAAUACGGAGGGUGCGAGCGUUGUCCGGAAUCACUGGGCGUAAAGGGCGCGUAGGCGGUUCUCUAAGCGUGUGGUGAAAGUCCGGGGCUCAACCCCGGAUCGGCCGUGCGAACUGGGGGACUUGAGCACUGUAGAGGCAGGUGGAAUUCCGGGUGUAGCGGUGGAAUGCGUAGAGAUCCGGAAGAACACCAGGGGCGAAGGCGGCCUGCAGGGCAGUGGCUGACGCUGAGGCGCGACAGCGUGGGGAGCAAAC